AGCAAACGCUGGCGGCGUGCCUAAUACAUGCAAGUCGAACGAGAAAAGUCCUUCGGGGCGAGUACUAGUGGCGCACGGGUGAGUAACGCGUGGAUAACCUGCCCUAAAGUGGGGAAUAACUUAUCGAAAGGUAAGCUAAUACCGCAUAAGACCACAGUUCCUGCGGGAACAGGGGUCAAAGAUUUAUCGCUUUAGGAUGGGUCCGCGUAGGAUUAGCUUGUUGGUGAGGUAAUGGCUCACCAAGGCUUCGAUCUUUAGCUGGUUUGAGAGGAUGAUCAGCCACACUGGAACUGAGACACGGUCCAGACUCCUACGGGAGGCAGCAGUAGGGAAUAUUGCGCAAUGGGGGAAACCCUGACGCAGCGACGCCGCGUGAGUGAUGAAGGCCUUAGGGUUGUAAAGCUCUGUCGUAAAGGAAUAAUUUUGAAGGUACUUUACAAGAAAGGACCGGCUAACUUCG
rnacentral:rRNA from 1 species